CCUACGGGAGGCAGCAGUGGGGAAUAUUGGACAAUGGGGGGAACCCUGAUCCAGCCAUGCCGCGUGUGUGAAGAAGGCCCUCGGGUUGUAAAGCACUUUCAGUGAGGAAGAACGCCUGGUGGUUAAUACCCAUCAGGAAAGACAUCACUCACAGAAGAAGCACCGGCUAACUCCGUGCCAGCAGCCGCGGUAAUACGGAGGGUGCGAGCGUUAAUCGGAAUUACUGGGCGUAAAGCGCGCGUAGGUGGCUUGAUAAGCCGGUUGUGAAAGCCCCGGGCUCAACCUGGGAACGGCAUCCGGAACUGUCAAGCUAGAGUGCAGGAGAGGAAGGUAGAAUUCCCGGUGUAGCGGUGAAAUGCGUAGAGAUCGGGAGGAAUACCAGUGGCGAAGGCGGCCUUCUGGACUGACACUGACACUGAGGUGCGAAAGCGUGGGUAGCAAACAGGAUUAGAUACCCUUGUUGUC
rnacentral:rRNA from 1 species